rnacentral:rRNA from 1 species
CGUAGGGUGCGAGCGUUGUCCGGAUUUAUUGGGCGUAAAGGGCUCGUAGGUGGUUGAUCGCGUCGGAAGUGUAAUCUUGGGGCUUAACCCCUGAGCGUGCUUUUCGAUACGGGUUGACUUGAGGAAGGUAGGGGAGAAUGGAAUUCCUGGUGGAGCGGUGGAAUGCGCUAGGAUAUCAGGAGGAACACCAGUUGGCGAAGGCGGUUCUCUGGGGCCUUUCCUGACGCUGAGGAGCGAAAGCGUGGGGAGCGAACAGGCUU